AGAGUUUGAUCAUGGCUCAGAACGAACGCUGGCGGCGUGCUUAACACAUGCAAGUCGCGUGCGCAGUUUCCGUAGCAAUACGGGGAUGGGCGCACGGCGCACGGGUGCGUAACACGUGGGCAAUCUGCCCUCCGAUGGGGAAUAACCCCGCGAAAGCGGGGCUAAUACCGCAUAACAUUCCUUGGACGAUGGUUCGAGGAUUCAAAGCAGUGAUGCGUCGGAGGAGGAGCCCGCGCCCGAUUAGCUAGUUGGCGAGGUAACGGCUCACCAAGGCAAUGAUCGGUAGCUGGUCUGAGAGGAUGAUCAGCCACACUGGAACUGAGACACGGUCCAGACUCCUACGGGAGGCAGCAGUGGGGAAUCUUGCACAAUGGGCGAAAGCCUGAUGCAGCGACGCCGCGUGGGGGAUGAAGCUUCUCGGAGUGUAAACCCCUUUCGCCUGGGACGAAUGCCCGCAAGGGAGUGACGGUACCAGGAUAAGAAGCCCCGGCUAACUACGUGCCAGCAGCCGCGGUAAGACGUAGGGGGCCAGCGUUGUUCGGAAUUACUGGGUGUAAAGGGUUCGUAGGCGGUGUGGCAAGUUGGGAGUGAAAUCUCUGGGCUCAACCCAGAGGCUGCUUCCAAAACUGCUGUGCUUGAGUGUGAGAGAGGCUCGUGGAAUUGCAGGUGUAGCGGUGAAAUGCGUAGAUAUCUGCAGGAACACCCGUGGCGAAAGCGGCGAGCUGGAUCACUACUGACGCUGAGGAACGAAAGCUAGGGGAGCAAACAGGAUUAGAUACCCUGGUAGUCCUAGCCCUAAACGAUCAGGACUUGGGGUGCCGCCCGUUCGGGCGUCGUCCCGGAGCUAACGCGUUAAGUCCUGCACCUGGGGAGUACGGUCGCAAGACUGAAACUCAAAGGAAUUGACGGGGCCCGCACAAGCGGUGGAACAUGUGGUUCAAUUCGACG
rnacentral:rRNA from 1 species